UACGUAGGGGGCAAGCGUUGUCCGGAAUUAUUGGGCGUAAAGCGCGCGCAGGCGGUUCUUUAAGUCCGGUGUUUAAAUCCAGGGCUCAACCUUGGGUCGCACGGGAAACUGGGGGACUGGAGUGCAGGAGAGGGAAGUGGAAUUCCACGUGUAGCGGUGAAAUGCGUAGAUAUGUGGAGGAACACCAGUGGCGAAGGCGGCUCUCUGGUCUGUUCUUGACGCUGAGGCGCGAAAGCUAGGGUAGCAAACGGG
rnacentral:rRNA from 1 species